AAGUUUAAAACCUCCUUUAAACACAAAGGCUUGGUCCUGACCUUAAAAUCAAUUAUUAUUCAACUUACACAUGCAAGUCUCCGCGCCCCAGUGAAGAUAUCCCGCCCCUUUAUUAAGAGAAAGGAACCGGUAUCAGGCACAUUAGUUUGCCCAAGACACCUAGCAACGCCACACCCACAAGGGUCUUCAGCAGUGAUAAACAUUGAGUAUUAGUGCAAACUUGACUCAGUCAGAAUAAAGAGAGUAGGCAAAUCUGGUGCCAGCCGCCGCGGUUACACCAUACGACUCAAAUUGAUUUUCCUCGGCGUAAAACGUGAUUUAAGCCACUAACCCAUUAAAGUUGAACCUCCAUUAAGCCGUGAUAAGCUUAUGACAGGGGAAACCAAACACGAAAGUUACUUUAAUUAACCAACUUGAAUACACGAAAAUUUGGGCACAAACUAGGAUUAGAUACCCUACUAUGCCAAAUAGUAAAUCGACUUACACCUUAUCGCCAGGGAACUACGAGCUAAAGCUUAAAACCCAAAGGACUUGACGGUGCCCCAUAUCCUCCUAGAGGAGCCUGUCCCAUAAUCGAUACCCCUCGCUUAACCUUACCACUUUUAGCCAAUCAGCCUGUAUACUUCCGUCGUCAACUUACCGCGUGAGCGGACCCCAGUGGGUUCAAUGUCUAUACAUCAAUACGUCAGGUCAAAGUGCAGCAAAUAAAGUGGAGAGAGAUUGGCUACAUUUUCUAGCAUAGAAAAUACGAAAGAUUACGUGAAAUCUUUAUCAGAAGGCGGAUUUAGUAGUAAAAAGAAAAUAGAACAUUCUUUUUAAUCUGGCACUGGGGUAUGUACAUACCGCCCGUCACCCUCUUCGCAAGACAAAUUUUAGUAAAUAACACAUUCACUCUAAAUAGAAGAGGCAAGUCGUAACAAGGUAAGUGUACCGGAAGGUGUACUUGGAAACGUCACAU
rnacentral:ncRNA from 1 species